rnacentral:rRNA from 1 species
GUUAAAAGAUUCAAAAUGGGAUUAGAUACCCCACUUCUAAAAAGCUUCAAACUGGGAUUAGAUACCCCACUAUGCCAGGAAAUAAACACUCUUACCAAAAAAGUACAAGAAACAGCUUAAAACUUAAAAGACCUGGCGGUGCUCAAACCAACCUAGAGGAGCUUGUUACAUAAUCGAUAAUCCGCGAUAAACCUCACCUCCCCUGGCACUUACCAGCCUAUAUACCGCCGUCGACAGCCCAUUUCACAAGAAAUGCAGCAAAACCCAGACUUACCCCUAACACGACAGGUCAAGGUGUAGCUUAUGGGAAGGAAAAUAAUGAGCUACAUUACUGCACAUAAACAAAAACUACGUUUGAAACUAGCAGUUGAAGAAGGAUUUAGUAGUAAGAGGAACCUAAAACAUUCCUAU